rnacentral:rRNA from 1 species
UGGUGCCUUCGGGUAUCGCUAGAGGAUGGGCUCGCGGCCUAUCAGCUUGUUGGUGAGGUAAAGGCUCACCAAGGCGACGACGGGUAGCUGGUCUGAGAGGACGAUCAGCAACACUGGAACUGAGACACGGUCCAGACACCUACGGGUGGCAGCAGUCGAGAAUCAUUCACAAUGGAGGCAACUCUGAUGGUGCAACGCCGCGUGGAGGAUGACGGUCCUAGGAUUGUAAACUCCUGUCAUUGGGGAGUAAGACUUAAGCGUUAAGAGCGUUUAAGUUUGAUAGUACCCAAAGAGG